rnacentral:rRNA from 1 species
UAGGGAAUAUUGGACAAUGGGUGAGAGCCUGAUCCAGCCAUGCCGCGUGCAGGAAGAAGGCGUUAUGCGUUGUAAACUGCUUUUGCCAGGGGAUAAAAUGAGCGUGCGCGCUUAAUUGAAGGUACCUGGUGAAUAAGCCACGGCUAACUACGUGCCAGCAGCCGCGGUAAUACGUAGGUGGCAAGCGUUGUCCGGAUUUAUUGGGUUUAAAGGGUGCGUAGGUGGCCCUGUAAGUCAGUGGUGAAAUAUCUCAGCUUAACUGAAAGGGUGCCAUUGAUACUGCAGGGCUUGAGUACAGAUGAGGUAGGCGGAAUUGACGGUGUAGCGGUGAAAUGCAUAGAUAUCGUCAAGAACACCGAUAGCGAAGGCAGCUUACCAAGCUGUAACUGACACUGAGGCACGAAAGUGUGGGGAUCAAACAGGAUUAGAUACCCAGGUAGUCCCUGAGCGGGCUGGCAAGGCGCAU